GUGCCAGCAGCCGCGGUAAUUCCAGCUCCAAUAGCGUAUAUUAAAGUUGUUGUGGUUAAAAAGCUCGUAGUUGAACCUUGGGCCUGGCUGGCCGGUCCGCCUCACCGCGUGCACUGGUCCGGCCGGGCCUUUCCCUCUGUGGAACCCCAUACCCUUCACCGGGCGUGGCGGGGAAACAGGACAUUUACUUUGAAAAAAUUAGAGUGCUCCAGGCAGGCCUAUGCUCGAAUACAUUAGCAUGGAAUAAUAAAAUAGGACGCGCGGUUCUAUUUUGUUGGUUUAUAGGACCGCCGUAAUGAUUAAUAGGGACAGUCGGGGGCAUCAGUAUUCAACUGUCAGAGGUGAAAUUCUUGGAUCAGUUGAAGACUAACUACUGCGAAAGCAUUUGCCAAGGAUGUUUUCAUUAAUCAGGAACGAAAGUUAGGGGAUCGAAGACGAUCAGAUACCGUCGUAGUCUUAACCAUAAACUAUGCCGACUGGGGAUCGGACGGUGUUAUUCAUGACCCGUUCGGCACCUUACGAGAAAUCAAAGUGCUUGGGCUCCAGGGGGAGUAUGGUCGCAAGGCUGAAACUUAAAGAAAUUGACGGAAGGGCACCACCAGGGGUGGAGCCUGCGGCUUAAUUUGACUCAACACGGGGAAACUCACCAGGUCCAGACACAAUAAGGAUUGACAGAUUGAGAGCUCUUUCUUGAUUUUGUGGGUGGUGGUGCAUGGCCGUUCUUAGUUGGUGGGGUGACUUGUCUGCUUAAUUGCGAUAACGAACGAGACCUUAACCUGCUAAAUAGCCCGCAUGCUCUGGCAGUGCGCUGGCUUCUUAGAGGGACUUCGCUCAGCGAAGGAAGUUUGAGGCAUAACAGUCUGGAUGCCUAGAUGUUCUGGGCCGCACGCGCGCUACACUGACGGGUCAGCGGAGUUCCUU
rnacentral:rRNA from 1 species